rnacentral:tRNA from 1 species
AAUUCUUUAAUUUAAUGGAAAAAUCUCUGAAUCCGAAUCAGAAAAUAUCAGUUCGAUUCUGAUAAGAAUUA